rnacentral:rRNA from 1 species
GGAUUAGAUACCCUGGUAGUCCACGCCCUAAACGAUGUGUGCUAGGCGUCGGGUCCUUAGGACUCGGUGCCGUAAGCUAACGCGUUAAGCACACCGCCUGGGGAGUACGGCCGCAAGGCUAAAACUCAAAGGAAUUGACGGGGACCCGCACAAGCGGUGGAGCAUGUGGUUUAAUUCGAAGCUACGCGAAGAACCUUACCAUCCCUUGACAUCUUGAUCGCGAAUUCCAGAGAUGGAUUUCUUCAGUUAGGCUGGAUCAAUGACAGGUGUUGCAUGGCUGUCGUCAGCUCGUGCCG